AUGGCAGCUGCCAACCCUUGGCACCCUGUGGAUCUGUCCCUGGGGACUUUUGGUGGAGGAACUCGACUCUCUGUUGGACGUGAUGCUCGGCCCACCCUCACAGUGUUGCCCCCCUCCAGUGUGGAGCUGCAGCAGGGGAAGGCUACACUGGUGUGCUUGGCCAACAAGGGUUUCCCCUCAGACUGGACGCUGAGCUGGAAGGUGGAUGGUAACAGUCCGACGUCAGGUGUGAGUGUGAGUGGGGGGGUGCUGGAGAAGGGAAACGGCCUCUACAGCUGGAGCAGCACCCUGAGCCUCACUGAGCAGCAGUGGAGGAACAUACGAGAAGUGAGCUGUGAGGCCAGACAGGGCAGCCAAAGCCCAGUCACCAACAGCCUGACCCCACAGCAGUGCUAGUGUUUCUGCUGAAAAGCUGCUCAACAGUUUUCAGCUCCAUUUCAGAUUUUGUUGUUAUCAGUUCAAAAUCUUAUUCUCUGC